rnacentral:lncRNA from 1 species
GGCUAGAAACCUGACUUCAUUUCAAGUUUUACUCUUGUUGCACCAAAACCUUGGGUGAGUUAGUUUCUCAGCCUCAGUCCCCUCAUCAGGAAAAUGCUGUGUUAGCACUUUCUGUGAAGAAUGAUCAAAGGAGUGGAGAUUAUGGAGAUUAUAAACACACUUGACACAGUAAGUGUUUAAGAACUGGUAGCUGAUUUUUACAAAGUUAUGGGUCAUAGAAGGCAGUUUAGAGAAAAGGGCAGGCUUUGGAGUAGCUCAGUUGUAUUAUAACCUUGGCUUCUUUACUCACCUAGGACAUACAUUCUCUCUUUAGCUGUAGCUUCCUCCCUUCUGAGAUGGAAAUUAUAAGCCAUCUCACAGUGUUGUGAGGAUUGGAGCUCAAGUGUGUAAAAUGCCUCCUCUGUGGGCUCUCCUUGGAGAGUUCUUGUAUCCUAUUGAUUGUCAUCAAAGGAAAAAAGUGGCAGGAUGAUGGCAUAAGUGGGAAGAACCUUGAGUUUAAUAGUCUGAAAAAGUGGUUACAGGUUCUUGCUAUGCUUUUCCUCUCUGUGGUUUUCUGAACCCAUCGCCUAACCUGAAGCCUUAAACUUCAUCUGCAAAAAUGUUUUGUGGCAGGUGACUCUGAAGCAGAACUCUUGAGAUGGAAGGAUUGUCAUCUGAGGAAAAAAAAUCAAGAUUAAGAGAGGAGGAACUAGAAUGAGAUUCACAUACCGUCUCUCCUCCAAGGGAAGGAGAGAGUGGUGAUGCCUGCCCACUCCUUCCUGGGCAGAACAUUUGUAGCAUGGAACAUUGGAGAAUUUGCAGUCUGCUGACUUUCUGAUUUAGGAGGUUGAUGGGGAGGCCUUAUAAUUUGCAUUUCUAACAAGUUCUGAGGUGAUGCUUCAAGUAUGUCCAGGCAGAAGGGCUGCCUCACAGAGAAUUCUGCCAUACCACAUGGGAAUUGAAGUCACAGACAUCUCUAACCCUCAAGCCUGAAACCAAAAGACUGAAAACCAACACUACAGUGGACAAAGAACAUCUCUGAACUUGUGUGGGGACCAGUGACACAAGGACCUAAGGUCUCUCUCUUCUCAUCUUGGCACUUCAGAAGUCUCCCCAAUCUUGACAAAGCCCUGGAGAAAGGGCCGGGCCUCCCGUUGAUAAGAAUAUCACUGCAGAUAAAUGGAGGUUUCAAAUUGAAAGAAAGGAGGAGGGCCUCCUGUUGAUAAGAUUAUUGUCACUGCAGGUAAAUGGAGGCUUCAAAUAGAAAUACAUUUCAGUUACAGAAAAAAAAAUUAUCUUUGUUACACAUUUGAGUUUGCAGGCCUAAGGUUACUCCCGCUACACUAUCAUCUGUAACCAUAACGCACUCAACAUUUUAAGCUAACUAUAAGGAUUGUUGCUUCACUCAAAGAUCCUGAGGUUUUAUUCACUAACAUUUUUAUUUGGUGACUAUAGUUGACAAGAACAAAGCUGUGGGGAACCAACAAACACUGCAAUGCCUGGCAUUGUCACCUCACUAGAUUGUGAGUUCCUCUGGGACAGGGUCCGUACAUUUUCUUAGAAUCCCUCACUUAGCCAUUAGCCUGCACAGUGCUUGUACUUAGUAAGUGCUCAGUAAAUGUUUGUGGAAUGAAUGCAUGAUGAACAAAAUAUAUACUGAGG